AACGAACGCUGGCGGCGUGCCUAACACAUGCAAGUCGAGCGAUUCUCUUCGGAGAAGAGCGGCGGACGGGUGAGUAACGCGUGGGUAACCUGCCCUGUACACGCGGAUAACAUACCGAAAGGUAUGCUAAUACGAGAUAAUAUGCUUUUAUCGCAUGGUAGAAGUAUCAAAGCUUUUGCGGUACAGGAUGGACCCGCGUCUGAUUAGCUAGUUGGUAAGGUAAUGGCUUACCAAGGCGACGAUCAGUAGCCGACCUGAGAGGGUGAUCGGCCACAUUGGACGUGAGACACGGUCCAAACACCUACGGGAGGCAGCAGUGGGGAAUAUUUCACAAUGGGCGAAAGCCUGAUGCAGAAACGCCGCGUGAGCGAUGAAGGCCUUCGGGUCGUAAAGCUCUGUCCUCAAGGAAGAUAAUGACGGUACUUGAGGAGGAAGCCCCGGCUAACUACGUGCCAGCAGCCGCCGUAACAC
rnacentral:rRNA from 1 species